UCAUCAAACUUCAUACGCAAACUCUUCAUAGCUCACCUGACAUGUACGCCAAAUUUUGUGCACUUUCGCCCCUGGGGGUUAUUAUUAUUUUUCUGUCGCAUUUGACCUUAUUUGAGGCAUUUCCCCAUGCACGAAAUCUCAUGAAAUUUGAUACACACAUCAGUCAUUGUAACCGCUUCUCAGCCACAGACGUUUGGCCCCGGGCGUGGCCCAGGGACUUCAUAGCGCCCCCUAAUUGAAACAAAUCUCUUCAGAACUUAUGGCCAGAACCUUACUCAGAACCCUUAGAUCAGUACAAAAAUGACAUGAUUCAUGAUAGUUGUCCUAGCAACACACACACACACACACACACUGCAGACACAGGGAAGCUAAGAUGACUUAAGAUUACAGCGUGAGAUGGAGAUAAGGAGGAGACACAUGUAUAGUUUUGUACAUAUAUAAAUGUACAUUUUCACACCACAGAAACACACACAUACACACAUACUUUAGUGUUUGUCUGUCUGUCUCUCAUCCGUCAAGCAGUCAUGGCAUUUGCAACAUGCACAUCACCUUUGAACAUUUGAUGAAUAUAUGACAUGUGACUGUUUUGUUGGGUGGCGGAAUGUCCUGGGUUGCGGAACCACAUGGGCGAGGGCCCGUCAAGGCCGCUAGCGGCUUUAAUUUAAUUUAGUCUUUUCAUCUAUUAGUUUGUUUGGUGGAUUUUUCCAGAAAAGAGAAACAGCCUCCAGAGCAGGUCGACGUUUAUUCCACACACACGAGCUCUGAUUCCUGAAUCGUUAUCUUUAAGAGAAAGUUUACAGCAGUGUUUACAAAACCGAGUUUAUAAAAGUGUUCUGGUGUACAAACUUGUGAAAGUAAACGAGGAUUUCACAGCACGUUCAUAAACACUGUUUUAUUUCACAUCAGUAUUUAUUAUAGAAAUGAAGCAAUGGUUCUGUUGACACUAAAGGAAAAUGAUUUUUUAUUUAUUGUACAGCGGUUUUAAAAUCAGUAAGCAUGUUUACAGAAACCCAGAUCCAGACCUGCUAAUGAGAACUUUUAAGGUCGGAAAAGCCGUGACGUGAUUGACGCAUGACGCUGCUGGGACUCUGUGGAAGCGCUGCAGAACUCCGUAAACCCUCCAGUCACGUCUUUCAAGAUUCAUCUCUGACAAAGUGUGCUUUCAGCUGUAAUUAUUGCCCCGCCCUUCUUGAUGGACGGCCAGCCCGUCUUUGCAUCCUUACAUGAUGUGUUUGAUGUAUUGAUUCUCAUCAUGUGAUCGAUGAUGUCACUUCAGAAAUCUGUACAGUGUAUAUCAACUGUAAAUUGUUUUUAAUAAUUUCUGUUUCACUUUUGUCAUCUUUUGUUGUGCCUGUGAAAGGAAACCGAUUACAGCGCUGUUGAGUUCUGGAUUGUGAUUGGUCAGUGUUAACGGCAGCUGUGACAGUUGUGCAGCUGUAGAUCGCAGGUUUAUGUUAAAGCGAUUAAACAGGAAAUUAUGGGGUUAUGAAAUGUCAUCAUUAUACAUUAAUACAAGAUGUUUGGGAUGAAGAAAAAUUAAGCGGACUUUUGCUUAAAAAACGUUUAAAUUUGUAACAUCAGUCCAUUGGGCCAUUUCCCUGGGCGUGGCCGUACUGGAUUAGCCAGAUCCAUGGAUGUAUUAGGAGAUGAAAACAAGGGUGGCGCCGCGUGACGUAGGAUUCUGCACAACAGCACACUGUGUCACGCAUCAAAUGGAUGGAAGAUAAGCAGAAGGACUCUGCGGCGCGUUCUGGACAGCGCGGGUUCCGAACUGACUCACAUGCCGUGAAUGACACACACCUGCAGGGGAUUAAGGCACAAUCAGCGCGCCUAAAUAAGGACUAGAAUGCAGACUUGCUUUGCGAAGUAUUGCAUUGUUGUGACACGUUACCAAGCUGUGUUUCCUGACUGAUUUCCUGUUUCUUGUUCCUUUAUUUGUCCCUGCUUCUGUCUACAAUAUUCUGUUUGUGCCUCGCUCGACCUUUUGUCUGUUUUACCGUUCACGAUCUCCACCUGCUGAUUUGGACUGUUUGCAUGUUUCCACUUUUCUUUAUUAUAAAAAUCUCCUGCACGUCCACCUGUCUCCAACCAUCUGUCCCUGACAGAACACUUCACCCUGCUGACACUAGUGCAGCAUGCACUCAUACAACUCCAGUGUGCUCGCGGAAAAUGACAUCACACACACAGGAGUUAUGGCGGCCUCCCUGACAAAAAAUAGUCUCGUCUAUUUUCAUCACUGUAAUGGAAAUUUUCAAUAAACACUUCAGAACGCUUA